GAUUCUUUAACUUAAAGGUAAAGUGUACUUUUGAUAAGAGUAAGAUUGGCGUUCAAGUCGCUGAAGAAUCA